rnacentral:rRNA from 1 species
AUUGAACGCUGGCGGCAUGCCUUACACAUGCAAGUCGAACGGUAACAGGUCUUCGGAUGCUGACGAGUGGCGAACGGGUGAGUAAUACAUCGGAACGUGCCUAGUAGUGGGGGAUAACUACUCGAAAGAGUGGCUAAUACCGCAUGAGAUCUACGGAUGAAAGCAGGGGAUCGCAAGACCUUGUGCUACUAGAGCGGCCGAUGGCAGAUUAGGUAGUUGGUGGGAUAAAAGCUUACCAAGCCGACGAUGUGUACCUGGUCUGAGAGGACGAUCAGCCACACUGGGGCUGAGACACGGCCCAGACUCCUAGGGGAGGCAGCAGUGGGGAAUUUUGGACAAUGGGCGAAAGGCGGAUCCAGCAAUGCCGCGUGCAGGAUGAAGGCCUUCGGUUUGUAAACUGCUUUUGUACGGAACGAAAAGCCCCGGGUUAAUACCCUGUGGUCACGACGGUACCGUAAGAAUAAGCACCGGCUAACUACGUGCCAUCAGCCGCCGUAA